GGCUUUAUAUUCAUAUAAAUGAUAUUAGACUGCAAUUCUAAAGGAGUACAUUGUACUAAGGCUU
rnacentral:tRNA from 1 species